GACGAACGCUGGCGGCGUGCCUAAUACAUGCAAGUCGAACGCUUCUUUCCUCCCGAGUGCUUGCACUCAAUUGGAAAGAGGAGUGGCGGACGGGUGAGUAACACGUGGGUAACCUACCCAUCAGAGGGGGAUAACACUUGGAAACAGGUGCUAAUACCGCAUAACAGUUUAUGUCGCAUGGCAUAAGAGUGAAAGGCGCUUUCGGGUGUCGCUGAUGGAUGGACCCGCGGUGCAUUAGCUAGUUGGUGAGGUAACGGCUCACCAAGGCCACGAUGCAUAGCCGACCUGAGAGGGUGAUCGGCCACACUGGGACUGAGACACGGCCCAGACUCCUACGGGAGGCAGCAGUAGGGAAUCUUCGGCAAUGGACGAAAGUCUGACCGAGCAACGCCGCGUGAGUGAAGAAGGUUUUCGGAUCGUAAAACUCUGUUGUUAGAGAAGAACAAGGACGUUAGUAACUGAACGUCCCCUGACGGUAUCUAACCAGAAAGCCACGGCUAACUACGUGCCAGCAGCCGCGGUAAUACGUAGGUGGCAAGCGUUGUCCGGAUUUAUUGGGCGUAAAGCGAGCGCAGGCGGUUUCUUAAGUCUGAUGUGAAAGCCCCCGGCUCAACCGGGGAGGGUCAUUGGAAACUGGGAGACUUGAGUGCAGAAGAGGAGAGUGGAAUUCCAUGUGUAGCGGUGAAAUGCGUAGAUAUAUGGAGGAACACCAGUGGCGAAGGCGGCUCUCUGGUCUGUAACUGAC
rnacentral:rRNA from 1 species